rnacentral:lncRNA from 1 species
UACCAAAGAUUAAACCCAGCGACUAGGACAUGCUGGGCAAGCCCUCUACACCUGAGCUACGCUCCAGAACUUUUUAUUUGAGACAGGAUCUCUAAAUUGCCCAGGCUGCCCUUGAAUUUGAGCCGCUUCCAUGUCAGCCCUCCAAGCAGCUGGGACUGCAGGUGUGCACCAGCACAGCUGGCUUUAAGCAUCUUGCCUGGUAAAUGCUGUAGACAGCCUAGCAGCUCCUUUGGAACAUAGCAUUUAUUUUAAACUUAGUAGCUGAGUCAAACCAGUAAUAUGACAUUUACGGCAUGAUUAAUAGGAAAAAAGAAACCGGGGAAACACUAUGUGCUUAACAAUAUUGGUUCAAUAAAUGAGAGGACAUUCAGACCGUAUGAAGAACAGGAGCGGGUGUCCAAGAUGUAUCAUGAUGUUUCUGGUUCUAUGUGCUAGAAACUGGAAUCCACUGCUUCUAAGAUCACACAGUCAUUUCAAGUUACGAUUAUGAAGAUCAACGAAGCAACAUGGAAAAAUCUUAUGAUGUAAAGCGAAGAAUGCAGGACUCCAAGUGAGUAUAAGCAUUGUACUCUCAGCUGUGUCAAGAUAUGCAAAUAAAAGAGAAGG